rnacentral:rRNA from 1 species
UCCGUAGGUGAACCUGCGGAAGGAUCAUUAGUGAAUUGAAUAUGUUAGCGGACCUCUUCGGAGUCCCUAGCAUCAAAUCAUAUCCAUAACACCUGUGAACUGUAAGGCUGUCUUGAAAACGAAAGUGAUUAGAGCGCCUGCCCAUUUUAUACAAACAUUAAAGUAACAAACGUAGUCUUAUUAUAAUCUAAUAAAACUUUCAACAACGGAUCUCUUGGCUCUCGCAUCGAUGAAGAACGCAGCGAAAUGCGAUAAGUAAUGUGAAUUGCAGAAUUCAGUGAAUCAUCGAAUCUUUGAACGCACCUUGCGCUCUUUGGUAUUCCGAAGAGCAUGCCUGUUUGAGUGUCAUGAAAAUAUCAACCUUGACUUGGGUUUAGUGCUCUUGUCUUGGCUUGGAUUUGGCUGUUUGCCGCUCGAAAGAGUCGGCUCAGCUUAAAAGUAUUAGCUGGAUCUGUCUUUGAGACUUGGUUUGACUUGGCGUAAUAAGUUAUUUCGCUGAGGACAAUCUUCGGAUUGGCCGAGUUUCUGGGACGUUUGUCCGCUUUCUAAUACAAGUUCUAGCUUGCUAGACAUGACUUUUUUAUUAUCUGGCCUCAAAUCAGGUAGGACUACCCGCUGAACUUAAGCAUAUCAAUAAGCGGAGGA